UCCCUGGUGGUCCAGUGGUUAAGACUCUGUGCUCCCAAUGCCAGGGGCCCGGGUUCGACCCCUGGUCAGGGAA
rfam:TPA: Bos taurus chromosome 21, whole genome shotgun sequence.